GACAGAGGUGCCGAGCGUUAGGCGGAAUCACUGGGCUUAAAGCGUGUGUAGGCGGGUCCGUAAGUACCUUGUGAAAUCCCAUGGCUCAACCAUGGAACUGCUUGGUAUACUGCGGAUCUUGAGCCACCUAGGGGCAAGUGGAACAAACGGUGGAGCGGUGAAAUGCGUAGAUAUCGUUUGGAACGCCAAUGGUGAAAACAACUUGCUGGGGGUGUGCUGACGCUGAGACACGAAAGCCAGGGGAGCAAACGGG
rnacentral:rRNA from 1 species